UGUGGCUCCAGCAUUCCAUGUUGGCUCUGUGGUUCUGUUUCAUUGAGAUUGGAGGUUAGCUGUUCUAUGGACACAGUCUGGGACUUCCCCUGGACACAGAGGCUGGAGGAGGCGAGAGCGGAGUGAUGAGGAGAACUAGGGAGCUGGAGGAGACGAGAGAGGAGGUGAAGAGGAGAACCAGGGAGCUGGAGGAGACGAGAGAGGAGGUGAGGAGGAGAACCAGGGAGCUGGAGGAGAUGAGAGAGGAGGUGAAGAGGAGAACCAGGGAGCUGGAGGAGACGAGAGAGGAGGUGAGGAGGAGAACCAGGGAGUUGCAGGAGGUGAAAGAAGAGGUGAGGAAGAGAACCAGGGAGCUGGAGGAGACGAGAGAGGAGGUGAAGAGGAGAACCAGGGAGCUGGAGGAGACGAGAGAGGAGGUGAGGAGGAGAACCAGGGAGCUGGAGGAGACGAGAGAGGAGGUGAGGAGGAGAACCAGGGAGCUGGAGGAGACGAGAGAGGAGGUGAGGAGGAGAACCAGGGAGCUGGAG
rnacentral:lncRNA from 1 species